rnacentral:rRNA from 1 species
GUCCACUGAACCUUAUCAUUUAGAGGAAGGAGAAGUCGUAACAAGGUUUCCGUAGGUGAACCUGCGGAAGGAUCAUUGUCGAUACCUGCACGGCAGACCCGCGAACGCGUUCCACAUCUCACCCGGGAGGACGACGCGGGCGCAGCCCCGCAUCGGAGUCCCGUUCCGUCGGCGAGCCCCCGCGCUCGUCGUACGGCCCAACGAACCCCGGCGCGAAAAGCGUCAAGGAACACUCAAAAUACGCCGCCCGCCCCGGGAUGCCCCGUCCGCGGUGCGCUCUCGGGGAUCGGGCGCGUGUCGAAUUCGAAACGACUCUCGGCAACGGAUAUCUUGGCUCUCGCAUCGAUGAAGAACGCAGCAAAAUGCGAUACUUGGUGUGAAUUGCAGAAUCUCGUGAACCAUCGAGUUUUUGAACGCAAGUUGCGCCCGAAGCCGUCAGGCCGAGGGCAUGUCUGCCUGGGCGUCACGCGCAGCGUCGCCCCCCACCCCCGUCCGCAACGGAACCGCGGGGUGCUGGGCCGGAGAUUGGCCUCCCGUGCGCAUCCGCGCGCGGCCGGCCCAAAUGCGAUUCGGCAUCGACGCGUGCCACGACGAUUGGUGGUUGAAGACCUCAACUCGCGCGUCGUCGUGCGGGAGCGCGCCGUUAGCCAGGAAUGCUUCGACCCCCUCGGGUGCUCCGCACCUCCGAAGCGACCCCAGGUCAGGCGGGAUCACCCGCUGAGUUUAAGCAUAUCAAUAAGCGGAGGA